CCUACGGGAGACAGCAGUGAGGAAUAUUGGUCAAUGGACGAGAGUCUGAACCAGCCAAGUAGCGUGAAGGAUGACUGCCCUAUGGGUUGUAAACUUCUUUUAUAUGGGAAUAAAAUGUUCCACGUGUGGGAUUUUGUAUGUACCAUAUGAAUAAGGAUCGGCUAACUCCGUGCCAGCAGCCGCGGUAAUACGGAGGAUCCGAGCGUUAUCCGGAUUUAUUGGGUGUAAAGGGAGCGUAGGUGGAUUGUUAAGUCAGUUGUGAAAGUUUGCGGCUCAACCGUAAAAUUGCAGUUGAAACUGGCAGUCUUGAGUACAGUAGAGGUGGGCGGAAUUCGUGGUGUAGCGGUGAAAUGCUUAGAUAUCACGAAGAACUCCGAUUGCGAAGGCAGUUCACUGGACUGCAACUGACACUGAGGCUCGAAAGUGUGGGUAUCAAACAGGAUUAGAUACCCCAGUAGUC
rnacentral:rRNA from 1 species